rnacentral:lncRNA from 1 species
GUAGUCUGGUAGCAAUGAAGCCAUCACUCUCAUCCAUCAAGUUAGUAAUAAAAAGGAGGAUGGGCUCUUCGAAAGGAGAGUCCUCAAAGAAAUUGAAGGAUGUUUGGUCGGGGUUCCCAAGUUUUGUCCUGGCACAAUGCCUGAGAGUGUUGGAUGUAGAUCAAGUGGAGACUGGAGACAAGCCGAUGGUGGCUAGGAGAGCAGCUGAGGCAUGGGUCACUACCAAACCAAAGCUCAAAGCUGUCAAGGAGUACAGAGCCUCGAUAGAUUUUGAGAGUGAGAUUAUGGAGGCUUCAGUAG